rnacentral:rRNA from 1 species
GAUGAACGCUGGCGGCGUGCCUAAUACAUGCAAGUCGAAAGCACAGCGAAAGGUGCUUGCACCUUUCAAGUGAGUGGCGAACGGGUGAGUAACACGUGGACAACCUGCCUCAAGGCUGGGGAUAACAUUUGGAAACAGAUGCUAAUACCGAAUAAAACUCAGUGUCGCAUGACACAAAGUUAAAAGGCUCUUUGGCGUCACCUAGAGAUGGAUCCGCGGUGCAUUAGUUAGUUGGUGGGGUAAAGGCCUACCAAGACAAUGAUGCAUAGCCGAGUUGAGAGACUGAUCGGCCACAUUGGGACUGAGACACGGCCCAAACUCCUACGGGAGGCUGCAGUAGGGAAUCUUCCACAAUGGGCGAAAGCCUGAUGGAGCAACGCCGCGUGUGUGAUGAAGGCUUUCGGGUCGUAAAGCACUGUUGUAUGGGAAGAACAGCUAGAAUAGGGAAUGAUUUUAGUUUGACGGUACCAUACCAGAAAGGGACGGCUAAAUACGUGCCAGCCGCCGCCGUAA